rnacentral:misc_RNA from 1 species
GAUGAAGAACGCAGCGAAAUGCGAUAAGUAAUGUGAAUUGCAGAAUUCAGUGAAUCAUCGAAUCUUUGAACGCACCUUGCACCCUUUGGUAUUCCGAAGGGUAUGCUCGUUUGAGUGUCAUUGUACUCUCACACUUCUAAUUCCUUUCGGGAUUGGGAGCGGUGGACUUGGGUGUUGCUGCUUUAGUUGUGGCUCACCUCAAAUAAGUUAGUGCAACUCUUGGUUGGACAUAGUACGGCGUGAUAAGUGUCUUCGCCGGCGCCUCUGUAAGGAGGGUGGCCGAUCGGGAGCUCUGUGCUUCAAAACGUCUUCGGACAAUCUUUGACAACUUGACCUCAAAUCGAGUAGGACUACCCGCUGAACUUAAGCAUAUCAAUAAGCGGAGGA